rnacentral:rRNA from 1 species
AGAAUCAACGCUGGCGGCGUGCCUCAGACAUGCAAGUCGAACGAUUAAAGCUCUCUUCGGAGAGUGUAUAGAGUGGCGCACGGGUGAGUAACACGUAAGUAAUCUACCUUUGAGUGGGGAAUAACGUUCGGAAACGGACGCUAAUACCGCAUAAUGCAGCGGCACCGCAAGGUGACAGUUGUUAAAGGAGCAAUCCGCUUAAAGAGGAGCUUGCGGCAGAUUAGCUAGUUGGUAAGGUAAUGGCUUACCAAGGCUACGAUCUGUAACCGGUCUAAGAGGACGGUCGGUCACACUGACACUGAAUAACGGGUCAGACUCCUACGGGAGGCAGCAGUCGGGAAUUUUGGGCAAUGGGCGAAAGCCUGACCCAGCAACGCCGCGUGAAGGAUGAAGUAUUUCGGUAUGUAAACUUCGAAAGAAUGGGAAGAAUCAAUGACGGUACCAUUUAUAAGGUCCGGCUAACUACGUGCCAGCAGCCGC